CUACUACAACAACGAGCCAAACAAGCAGCAGUACCACUAAAUCUACAUUAGAUGGACUCACACCUUCAGCAUCCACAGUCUCCACAGCUACAGCAGGGACAACAAUGGCAGAAACCAGUACAACUCUGGAUACCAGUAGUGUCACAUCUUCCCCAGCAGAUGGGAGCAAAUCUGGAUUUUCCAACAAAAACAAAGAUUUCCCCAUUAACAAGGGUAAAGACAGGUCGUGUCUGGACGGUAACCGUCGAUGCAAAUGUUCUUGCGAGACUUGAUGCCCGACGACCUAUCCUAACCUUAACCAUCUCGCGAGAGUUUCGCAAAUUGAGAGGCACCGUCCAUGGAUCAAUAUACUGUACAUUCAUGAGACACGACCCGAAGUCUGCAUUAUCAUUUACCAGC
rnacentral:lncRNA from 1 species